UCAGACCAAAAACAAAUUUUUUUUUUCUUCUUUUUUUUUUUUUUUUGAUCCAUUUUCUCUUUUCCUUUCCAGGACUCUGGAGUGGUGGGUUAAUUCUUUGUAGCUGUUGUUGUUGUUGCAAAAUAACCUGUUUUUGGGGGCUGCGAGGUGCCAUGGCUGCUCCGUGUGGCAGGGCGCAGGGGGAGGGUGCGCUCCGGGCUGCGAUGGCAUUCCCGGGCCCUUGCAAUUAAUAGAAAUUUGUUUACGAGAAUAACCACCGCAGGUCACGGUGCCCUCGGCCCACGAGUGCAAUUGCUCAGAGCUACCGGUUCAGCCACCGCUGAGCCCCACGGAGUGGCCACCUCGGACACAAAGUCCCUGGGUGCUGCUUUUAUUUUGAUUUCUCAGCUAAGCCCUUGAAGCAAAAUGCUUUAAUGCAAGGAUGGAGGGCGGAAAAAAAAAAGAAAAAAUAAAAAGAAAAAUAAGGAAGAAAGCCUUUCUACUAAUACGACUCAUUUUAUCAUUAAAAAAAGCCCGGUGGCAAGACAGGGAUGGUACUCCCGAGACACUUGAGAUGGUACAGAUAUGCUGGAGAGACGGCUUUCCUGUAGUUAAAAAGCGAUAUGUAAUUCCCAGUGAGUAAGUGCAGCUCGAGCUGUGCGAGUCCGAUCCCGGCCCUGGGCAGGGAGGGGGCUCACCGGGUGUCUGCAGGCGGCCGAGGGGGGAACAGACCCAAUAAUAUAAACUCUGCUCUCCUCCAGGAUUUUGUUGUUGUGUUUUUUUUUUUUUUUUUCCUUUUUUUACAGCAACAAAAUUAAAUGGAAGGUUGUUGUUGGCGGGUGGGGGGGUGGGGGGGGGGGGUGGUCAGAUCUUUUCUGUUUGUCAUUUCUCUGCAGUGUGUGAUGCUUUCGCUUUAGCCAGAGCGUGUGUGCCCGGCGGAGCCCAGCACCUGUGGGACGCUGGGGAGCAGCGAGAGGGCUGCCGCUUGGGGUUGCUUUUUUUUUUUGGUGGAGACCCGAGGUCGAGCAUGGCUUCUGUUCAAGUAGCACUUUGUCGGGGGAGAUUUCUCGCUCUGCCUGGCCACUGCCAAGCUGGGCUUGCAUCACAGUUUCCAUUCUAACCCUCGUUACAGGGACGUAGAGUGCAGUCACCAGCAUCCCCUUCGGGCUGGGAACUGGGCGGCCUGGGGUUCCUUCAUGGGGUUUUUGGCCUUUCUCCUUCAGUUUUGUACCUUUUUGUCCCCCCUUUCCAUCAUUUGGGGCCUGGCUGCAGCUCCCGGGGGGCUCCUGCCACACGCUUCCACCUCCUACCGCUUCCUUCUGCCCCCCCAAAAGCCGCAGCAGUCCCCGCGAUGCCUUGCUGGGGACUUCGGGGUGCCAGGGAUGGGGUCGUUUCCCCAGGACCCCCCUCCCCUCAUGGACCAGAGGGGUCAGUGCCAAGCGAGGCCUUCUCACCCUCUUGCUUUACCCGUCCCGUCUGGGUCCCAGCUCCGGGGACCAGCUUGGCAGCUGGUGGCAGUGGUGGUGGCUGCCAGGCAGGCAGGGCGGCGAUGCCCCGGCGGGACGGCCUCCCUCGCCUCCGCCCGCCGACAGCAAGAGGCUUCGUUCUUGGGGGGGGGGGGGAAGGUGGCCCCACGGCAUGGAGGGUUGCCAGGUGGGCUGGGAAGCCACCAGCAGCCCCCCACGUUGGCCUCAGCCUCGAGGUGCCUGCGCAGCACAUGGAGGGGCAGCAGCCCGGCACCACAAGUAGGGGGGCUGCAGUAAAACUUGGGGGGGGGGGGGGGGGGGGCAGAACCAUGCACCCCCCUCUCAAAAACACCCCGCCACACCCCCUGCGGAGAUCCCCUCACCCAGGCAGGGGUUUGAACCCCGAUGCGGGGAUGGGGGUGGUGCUGCUGGAAAACGGUCCCCCAGGAGUUGGCAGGGGUAUUUCUGGGCACAGCGGAGGAGUGGGAGCGGAGGCAGGAGCAGCGCUACAGGUGCUUUGUGCCCCCCCCAGUGGGGUGUCCCGAUUCAGCCUCCCCAUUUCCCCCCUUCAGCGAGCUCCUUGGACGGAAAGCAGCCCCUCUGCCUGUGUGUUGGCAUGCAGGGCACAGAGCAGUGUGAAAUUAUUUAGCCCUCCUCGAGAGCUGCAGUUUGACGUUGAAGGCCCUCGGAGCUGGAGCUGCUGCUCAGCGGUGAUGGGAGCCCCCGGGGUUUGGGCUGUCCUCCCCAGGGGACAAGGAGUGGGUUUUUAAGUGGCAUCGAGGCCAGUGCGUAUUUUUCCCAGGUGAACUGUACCUCUGGAAAGAAGUGCCUCGUCUUUUACAAAAUAUGCUUUAAAUAAACAGUGCCCCACUAUAAUUUUUUCUUUUGAAAUUAACUCCUUCAGGCCAUGAGGCUUACCCAUCCCCACUCAAAAUAGCUGCCAGGACUUUUAAAGAAAAAAAAAAAAGUGUGUCUGAGGGAGAAAAGUUUAGCCUGACAGAAGACAGCCCGUAAAUCUCUCUUCCCCGUGACAGCCGAGGAUGUGUUAGGAUGGGUUGUGGGAGCAGCCUGCCCGUUUCAGAGCUGGGUGCCGCUGCACCAAUGUUACUUAAAAGGAGUUUUGUGCAUAUUAAUGCGCGUGCACCGAGGCCAGGCUGCACGCUGCACAGGGACAGCCUAUUCCCUGGCUGAAUUCAACUAUCUUGUUUUCUAAUCUAACCUACUUUUUUCUUUUUUUUUUUUUUUUUUUCUGUCAGAGGUUGGUGCUUUGCAGGAACCUGUUCUCAGUGCAAUCUCAGAGCUUUUUGUGGGUGUCUGAUUUCUGUAACACGUUUUGGUUUCCAGUAUGAAUGUAACGUACAAAGAAUAUCAUGACACUGCUCUAGGUGUACGUGAUCUUAUCUACCUGACAUUUAGGGUUUUUUUAACCGUCCAAUUCACCCGAUUUGCAUAAAAAUCACAUGAUUUUUCUUUUUUUCCUCCUUUUUUUCAUGCAUCAUCAUAACAAACUACUCAGGUUUACCAGGCUGUUUUCUGCCUGUCAGCAGGAACGCAGGGCCCGUCUCUCUCCCCCUCCUUUCUCCCCCGUGGAGGUUGGCAAUGUUAAAGGUAGCACUUGGAGGGGACCUGUGAUCACAGACAGCCACUGGAAUCCUUAAUAAGCAAAUGUGUAUGGUUUAACUUCCAAGAAAACAAAGCAGCUGAGCAUGCAUCCCAUCCGGUUCUUCUUAAUAGACAAGACUUCAUUUUAUUGAUAAGGAAACUUCGCGGAACAGCCCCCCGGAUCCCAGAAGGCUCCCCCUGCUGCAGCCGUCCUCAUUACAAAACAAGGCCACAAUUAAAAUAAACUCCAAGAGCUAAACAAA